CCAUGCUCUCUCCUGCAUUCAGAGUGUGAGACUUCACCAUUACAGAUGCUAUCCCAAUCCCUGUUUCUCUGUCCCGGACCAGUGAAGCAGAUCAAGGCAUAUCCCAAAAUUAUCACGUUUUACAAGAGCAAGCCUUUUGUUGUGGAAUCUUUUUAUUUAGAUUUGAUAUCACUGCCCUUUCCUGAGGCGAAGAUCGGUGAGAAUCAAGGGGUUUCCCUUCAGGCCACAGUAGUGUUUAUAUUGCGGCAUACUAAUGAUACUGAAAUCAUAAUUUGAAUGUGAAUUAAUGCUAUGUGAAACCACAGAAAUAAAUGAGAUUUGCAGGCA